rnacentral:rRNA from 1 species
CUGUAGCAAUACAGGAGUGGCAGGACGGGUGAGUAACGCGUGGGAACCUUCCCAGUGGUACGGAAUAGCUCAGGGAAACUUGAGGUAAUACCGUAUAAGCCCCUAGGGGGAAAGAUUUAUCGCCAUUGGAUGGGCCCGCGUCGGAUUAGCUAGUUGGUGAGGUAAUGGCUCACCAAGGCGACGAUCCGUAGCUGGUUUGAGAGAAUGACCAGCCACACUGGGACUGAGACACGGCCCAGACUCCUACGGGAGGCAGCAGUGGGGAAUAUUGGACAAUGGGCGAAAGCCUGAUCCAGCCAUGCCGCGUGAGUGACGAAGGCCUUAGGGUUGUAAAGCUCUUUUGGCGGGGACGAUAAUGACGGUACCCGCAGAAUAAGUCCCGGCUAACUUCGUGCCAGCAGCCG